rnacentral:rRNA from 1 species
UACGUAGGGGGCAAGCGUUGUCCGGAUUUAUUGGGCGUAAAGAGCUCGUAGGCGGCUCGGUAAGUCAGGUGUGAAAACUCUAGCUCAACCUAGAGACGCCACCUGAUACUGCCGUGGCUAGAGUCCGGAAGAGGCGAGUGGAACUCCUGGUGUAGCGGUGGAAUGCGCAGAUAUCAGGAAGAACACCAACGGCGAAGGCAGCUCGCUGGGACGGUACUGACGCUGAUGCGCGAAAGCCAGGGGAGCAAACGGG